UGAGAGUCAGCGGGGAGGGGGCGGGCCGGGGCGGGAACGGACCGGCCAUUGGUCGGGCCCAGUGCUGCCUACCACCAAGAGGAAAAGCCGCUCCCCCAAAUUUACCCCUCCUUCCCUCCUUCACUAGUCUGGGAGUCGUAUCUCGGCUCCCCCCUCGCCCCCUUUCCCCCCAUUCCGGCCACCUCUCUUGGCUGGCCCAGGGCUAGGCUGGGGUGGACAGGGGUCGGAGUCCCCGGCUGGGGGCUAGCCUGCGCGUAGGGAGCGAGGAGCCGGGGCGCCCUCCUCCCUGGAUCCUGGGCUUUAGAGCCCGAUCGGUCUUCGAGAUGCGCUACGUGUCUCCCUCCUUCUUCCCCCCACGCUUGACCUCAGCCCGAGAUCCGGACCCUAGCCGGGAAGUGGGGGACCCCUGAGCGUCGCCUUGACCACUCUGCGGGCCAUCUCGGUAUUUUGUCACUCUGGGCAUCCCUCCCAUCAACUCCUUUGUUGUCCAGAUUUGCGGGAGAGUGGAAAGAAUUGCACUGGACAUCAGGAGACUUGGAUUUCAGGCCCAGUACUCAUAGCCAGGAGACCUUGAACAAGAUAUCCUACAACAGUGAUGAACUUUUAGCGAUCAAGUGCCCAAACUGCAACUCUCAUGCCACAUGCCUCAUCCACUUUAUGCCUCUACACAUCUUCCACACCUUUCAUGGGAUCAGAGCCGUGAGCAGCUGGGGACGAAGGGAGGCAGACAGCCCAGGAUUUCGCCCAAGUUCAAAUGCUCCAAGGACCAGCGAGUUCAAACAAGGGGAAUCCUCUCUACCAGACUAACUUAUUUGCCUCAGAUUCUAGGGAAUUUUCCUCAGGAAGGGAGAGGUUGUGACUUGCUCAGAGUCAUAGGAUCAUAGAAGCUGGAAGGGACCUUUAAACUGCCUCCCCAGGUGGAGGGUACUUGGGAGAGAAUACCUGGAUUUCCUUUCCUCUCUAUCACCAAUUUCAAGAAGAAAAAGCAAUCACAUCUUCCAUCACUUCUCCCCUAGCAACCAGCAAGUCCUUAUGAAUGAAUAAGAAGUCACCAAAAAGUGAACUCUGCUUCCAUUUAAGCCAUUCCUGAAUGCUCCCCCAAGCAUUCAGUGUGGUGCUUUUCCUACCAUAUUCCCCCAGCCCACCUCUGGUUCUUGGAUACCCUCCCCUGAGCCCUCUGGCCACAGCCCCUUUUUUUUUCCUCCUGAUCAGGACACCCAGAGUCAUAUUCCCAUCUUGAGUCUUCUUGGCCAAGGCUCACAGAUAGGGUUGGCCUUGUGUUAGGAAUCUGAGUUCCUUCGGUUUGUGGGCCAUCUUUGGGGGUGCAUUUCUAUUGAGCCCUGGCCUAGCAUCAGCUACUUCCUUAGGUUUUGUCUCUGGAUAUCUCAACUGCAGGUUUCUUCCUACAAUGACCUAACUUCUUCCUGGGGUACCUAGAUUGGGGGGGUUGAAUGUGGUGGGUUUCUGGCCUGCCUCUUUUCCCUUAGUCAUUUAGGAACCUUUCAACUGUUAUUCACACCUUUUAAUACAAGGAAAUAGGUAUGUUCAAUGAAUCCCCACCAACACACCUUAAGCCAGGAGAGCAAGUCCCAGUCCUUGCAGUCCGGACAGCUGGGGGGCUUCAGCUGGAGUUCUUUUGCUUGGCCCCUGAGGCACAAUAAUGGGAAACAAGAGGUGGAAGUUACAGACACAAGUCUAGCCUGUAUGGCUGGAUACAAGAGGGGGAAGAAGACUGAAGGGGCUGCCUUGAGAGGUAGUGGGCUCUCCCUCUUGGAGGUCUUCAGGUUAAGGCUGGAUGGCCACCAGCUGGGUAGGUGGCCAUUGAGCUCAGAUCCAACCUGUCCUAGAAGGCUCCCAAGGUCUUGGUUCCAUGAUGGUUCUAUGUUGUUUCCCCAGGUUGCUUCUCAAGGCUGCAGGAUGAGAUUAUGGGCUUCCAUAGCUAACACAGAUUUGGCUAAAGAAAAUGUGGACUAUCAUUCGCAGGGAAAAGAGUCUUCUUUUGAGAAUAUUGUUGCCUUGGUAAACCCCCUAGCCUUUGGGCCCUCUAUACCAAUGGGUAACGCUAUUAAUCCGCAUGUGGCUUCCUGUCACUUGGGAUUCAUUGAAAGACCCAUUCUUGACUAUCUUUCAGUGGGAAUGAUUUAGGAAUCCAAAGCACAUGUCUAGAGAAAGAGAAGCAGUGUGUGUGUGUGUGUGUGUGUGUGUGUGUGUGUGUGUGUGUGUGCACAUGCACACUGGGCAGGAAUUGACAUGUGCUUACAGGUGUAGAAUUCCAUACCUUCCUCCAAAGCCCUGAAGGUGCUUUAAACCAAAUCUUCCCAUCACUGAUUAUCCUAGAUGAACAGGCCUCCUGGAGGGGGAUGAUUCACUUUUAGCAGCAGCAGCAGCAGCUUCUAGACUUAGAUUCUCAUCCCAUACAAACAGUCUGGGGGCUGGGGCUCUUCCAGAGCAGAAUUUUCCCAGACUACCCAGGUUCUAGACUUUGGAGUCACCUUGGAUUCUUUCCCUCCUUACCUUGCUUCUGAAGGGGCAGCUCCCAGGUCUCCUGUGCCAAUCAUUCUCAUUCCCUUUUUCACUAUCUUGCUUUAAUUAUUAUUUUUUUAAAUUUAAUU